ensembl:lncRNA
CCGGGGAAAGCUGACAGUCACUGCUGGCUGAGGCUGCGGGCUUAGGAAGCCGGCGUGGUGUAUCAGCUGUGCCUUCAGCCGGCUCCAGAGGUUGAAGUUCUGUUGCCCGUUUUCCUACAAACACUGUCUCUUCACCCCACGGCAACCCCUGCUUCCGAUCCAGAAAGCAGCAACAGCGAAAUGAUCCGGCGUUCUCUGCCGUCUUUACAUGCAGAGCGGGGAGAAGAGGGACGCAAAGCACCGUGAAAAGAGAUUCGUUCCCCUCAUUUUUUCUGUUAUCCUAAAAACCCGAGGAUUUUAGGGUUUUACUGCCCUGCUUCUUAGAGAUGUGGAAACUGAGAAUCCAUAAGAUUGAGAAGCCUGUCCGAGGACACAGAAGCUGUUCCACACCCUCAGACCCUGUCACAUGGCUCUCAGUGGCAGUCGG